UGACCUCGGAUCAGGUAGGGAUACCCGCUGAACUUAAGCAUAUCAAUAAGCGGAGGAAAAGAAACCAACAGGGAUUGCCUCAGUAACGGCGAGUGAAGCGGCAAGAGCUCAAAUUUGAAAGCUGGCCCCCUCGGGGUCCGCAUUGUAAUUUGCAGAGGAUGCUUCGGGAGUGGCCCCCAUCUAAGUGCUCUGGAACGGGCCGUCAUAGAGGGUGAGAAUCCCGUAUGGGAUGGGGUGUCCGCGACCAUGUGAAGCUCCUUCAACGAGUCGAGUUGUUUGGGAAUGCAGCUCUAAAUGGGUGGUAAAUUUCAUCUAAAGCUAAAUAUUGGCCGGAGACCGAUAGCGCACAAGUAGAGUGAUCGAAAGAUGAAAAGCACUUUGAAAAGAGAGUUAAAAAGCACGUGAAAUUGUUGAAAGGGAAGCGCUUGCGACCAGACUCGCCUACGGGGUUCAGCCGGUAUUCGUACCGGUGUACUUCCCCGUGGGCGGGCCAGCGUCGGUUUGGGCGGCCGGUCAAAGGCCCUCGGAAUGUAACGCCUCUCGGGGCGUCUUAUAGCCGAGGGUGCCAUGCGGCCAGCCCAGACCGAGGAACGCGCUUCGGCACGGACGCUGGCAUAAUGGUCGUAAGCGACC
rnacentral:rRNA from 1 species